AGCUAUGGACGUUUGUUUGGGCGCUUGUGCAAGAGUUGUGAGAACCCCAGCGCGGCAACCUACGGGACCACGUAGGGGGCAGCGUNNNGGAAGGGCUGCUGCGUGGGAGCGCACCCAGCAAGCCCAAUUGCUUGUAAAGCCGCGCCGUAGCGGUUCCUUUUGAUAGUGCUCUGAUGAACGAGAGCGCUCCGUAGCAAGCGGCACGUAAGGCCCGACGAACACGGAGAACNNNNGCGCAGCGGGGGAGGGGGGUUAAAGGGAAGGCUUCCGCCCACCUAGGCUUCCCUGCCUGUUACCGGAGGGCAUGAGAAUGACACGGCGAUCGAAUUUACCGUAAGGAGCAGGUGGCUACAGCGGUGAACAUCACCAAGCUCGUUAGCGCGCUACAGCACGCACUGGGAAAAGGAAGCCACUGUAGUAAUGACUGCGUUGCCCUGGUUCGCGAAA
rnacentral:rRNA from 1 species